UGGGGAAUAUUGCACAAUGGGCGCAAGCCUGAUGCAGCCAUGCCGCGUGUAUGAAGAAGGCCUUCGGGUUGUAAAGUACUUUCAGCGGGGAGGAAGGGAGUAAAGUUAAUACCUUUGCUCAUUGACGUUACCCGCAGAAGAAGCACCGGCUAACUCCGUGCCAGCAGCAGCGGUAAUACGGAGGGUGCAAGCGUUAAUCGGAAUUACUGGGCGUAAAGCGCACGCAGGCGGUUUGUUAAGUCAGAUGUGAAAUCCCCGGGCUCAACCUGGGAACUGCAUCUGAUACUGGCAAGCUUGAGUCUCGUAGAGGGGGGUAGAAUUCCAGGUGUAGCGGUGAAAUGCGUAGAGAACUGGAGGAAUACCAGUGGCGAAGGCGGCCCCCUGGACAAAGACUGACGCUCAGGUGCGAAAGCGUGGGGAGCAAACAGG
rnacentral:rRNA from 1 species